CAAGAGCGUAUGUAAAAGUUGUUGCAGCUAAAAAGCUCGUAGUUGAACCUUGGGUUUGGUUGGCCGGUCCGCUUUUUUGCGAGUACUGGAUUCAACCGAGCCUUUCCUUCUGGCUAACCAGUCGUUUCGGCGGCUGGCGAACCAGGAUUUUUACUUUGAGAAAAUUAGAGUGUUCAAAGCAGGCAUUAGCUUGAAUAUAUUAGCAUGGAAUAAUAGAAUAGGACGUUAUGGUUCUAUUUUGUUGGUUUCUAGGACCAUCGUAAUGAUUAAUAGGGACGGUCGGGGGCAUCAGUAUUCAGUUGUCAGAGGUGAAAUUCUUGGAUUUACUGAAGACUAACUACUGCGAAAGCAUUUGCCAAGGACGUUUUCAUUAA
rnacentral:rRNA from 1 species